CUACGGGUCGCUCCAGUGAGGAAUAUUGCACAAUGGGGGGAACUCUGAUGCAGCAACGCCGCGUGGAGGAUGACGCAUUUCGGUGUGUAAACUCCUUUUAUAUGUCAAGAAAAUGACGGUAGCAUAUGAAUAAGCACCGGCUAACUCCGUGCCAGCAGCCGCGGUAAUACGGAGGGUGCAAGCGUUACUCGGAAUCACUGGGCGUAAAGGAAGCGUAGGCGGGUUGGAAAGUCAGGUGUGAAAUCCUACAGCUUAACUGUAGAACUGCACUUGAAACUUCUAAUCUAGAGUAUGGGAGGGGGAGAUGGAAUUAGUGGUGUAGGGGUAAAAUCCGUAGAUAUCACUAGGAAUACCUAAAGCGAAGGCGAUCUCCUGGAACAUUACUGACGCUAAGGCGUGAAAGCGUGGGGAGCAAACAGGAUUAGAUACCCCCGUAGUC
rnacentral:rRNA from 1 species